UCUCUGGUGGUCCAGUGGUUAGGACUCAGCAUUUUUACUGCCAGGGCCUGGGUUCAGUCCCUGGUUGGGGAA
rnacentral:tRNA from 1 species